AACGGCCGUACCAUGCUGAAUAUACCGGUUCUCGUUAGAUCACCGAAGUUAAGCAUCAUUGGGCGCGGUCAGUACUUGGGUGGGUGACCACCUGGGAACACCGCGUGCCGCUG
rnacentral:rRNA from 1 species